rnacentral:rRNA from 1 species
AUACGGAGGAUGCAAGCGUUAUCCGGAUUUAUUGGGUUUAAAGGGUGCGUAGGCGGUUUGCUAAGCGGGAGGUGAAAUGCCGGCGCUCAACGUCGGAAGUGCCUCCCGAACUGGUGGACUUGAAUGACUCUGCCGUGGGAGGAAUGUGUAGUGUAGCGGUGAAAUGCUUAGAGAUUACACAGAACACCGAUUGCGAAGGCAUCUCACGAAGGGUUGAUUGACGCUGAGGCACGAAAGCGUGGGGAUCAAACAGGAUUAGAUACCCUGGUAGUCCACGCAGUAAACGAUGAUGGCUAACCGCUGGGCUUAUCAGUUCAGUGGCCAAGCGAAAGCGAUAAGCCAUCCACCUGGGGAGUACGACCGCAAGGUUGAAACUCAAAUGAAUUGGCGGG